rnacentral:rRNA from 1 species
AACGUAGGAGGCAAGCGUUAUCCGGAUUUACUGGGCGUAAAGGGCGUGCAGGUGGUGGUGUAAGUGGUGCGUGAAAGCGCUCGGCUCAACCGGGCGAGGCCGUGCCAAACUGCACGACUAGAAACAGGCAGAGGCAAGUGGAAUUCCGGGUGUAGUGGUGAAAUGCGUAGAGAUCCGGAAGAACACCGGUGGCGAAGGCGGUCUGCUGGGCAGUUGCUGACACUGAGGCGCGACAGCGUGGGGAGCAAACAGG